UACGUAGGGUGCGAGCGUUGUCCGGAAUUAUUGGCGUAAAGGGCUCGUAGGCGGUUUGUCGCGUCGGGAGUGAAAACCUCGGGCUUAACUCGGGGCUUGCUUUCGAUACGGGCAGACUGGAGGUAUGCAGGGGAGAACGGAAUUCCUGGUGUAGCGGUGAAAUGACGCAGAUAUCAGGAGGAACACCGGUGGCGAAGGCGGUUCUCUGGGCAUGACCUGACGCUGAGGAGCGAAAAGUGUCGGGGAGGCGAACAGG
rnacentral:rRNA from 1 species